UACGGAGGGUGCGAGCGUUAAUCGGAAUUACUGGGCGUAAAGCGCGCGUAGGCGGUCGGGUUAGUCGAUUGUGAAAGCCCAGGGCUUAACCUUGGAAUUGCAUUCGAUACUGCUCGGCUAGAGUAUGGGAGAGGGAAGCGGAAUUUCCGGUGUAGCGGUGAAAUGCGUAGAUAUCGGAAGGAACACCAGUGGCGAAGGCGGCUUCCUGGCCCAAUACUGACCAUGAGGUGCGAAAGCGUGGGGAGCGAACAGG
rnacentral:rRNA from 1 species